UUGAACGCUGGCGGCAGGCCUAACACAUGCAAGUCGAACGGUAACAGGAAGCAGCUUGCUGCUUUGCUGACGAGUGGCGGACGGGUGAGUAAUGUCUGGGAAACUGCCUGAUGGAGGGGGAUAACUACUGGAAACGGUAGCUAAUACCGCAUAACGUCGCAAGACCAAAGAGGGGGACCUUAGGGCCUCUUGCCAUCGGAUGUGCCCAGAUGGGAUUAGCUAGUAGGUGGGGUAACGGCUCACCUAGGCGACGAUCCCUAGCUGGUCUGAGAGGAUGACCAGCCACACUGGAACUGAGACACGGUCCAGACUCCUACGGGAGGCAGCAGUGGGGAAUAUUGCACAAUGGGCGCAAGCCUGAUGCAGCCAUGCCGCGUGUAUGAAGAAGGCCUUCGGGUUGUAAAGUACUUUCAGCGGGGAGGAAGGGAGUAAAGUUAAUACCUUUGCUCAUUGACGUUACCCGCAGAAGAAGCACCGGCUAACUCCGUGCCAGCAGCCGCGGUAAUACGGAGGGUGCAAGCGUUAAUCGGAAUUACUGGGCGUAAAGCGCACGCAGGCGGUUUGUUAAGUCAGAUGUGAAAUCCCCGGGCUCAACCUGGGAACUGCAUCUGAUACUGGCAAGCUUGAGUCUCGUAGAGGGGGGUAGAAUUCCAGGUGUAGCGGUGAAAUGCGUAGAGAUCUGGAGGAAUACCGGUGGCGAAGGCGGCCCCCUGGACGAAGACUGACGCUCAGGUGCGAAAGCGUGGGGAGCAAACAGGAUUAGAUACCCUGGUAGUCCACGCCGUAAACGAUGUCGACUUGGAGGUUGUGCCCUUGAGGCGUGGCUUCCGGAGCUAACGCGUUAAGUCGACCGCCUGGGGAGUAGGGCCGAAAGGUUAAAACUCAAAUGAAUUGACGGGGGCCCGCACAAGCGGUGGAGCAUGUGGUUUAAUUCGAUGCAACGCGAAGAACCUUACCUGGUCUUGACAUCCACGGAAGUUUUCAGAGAUGAGAAUGUGCCUUCGGGAACCGUGAGACAGGUGCUGCAUGGCUGUCGUCAGCUCGUGUUGUGAAAUGUUGGGUUAAGUCCCGCAACGAGCGCAACCCUUAUCCUUUGUUGCCAGCGGUCCGGCCGGGAACUCAAAGGAGACUGCCAGUGAUAAACUGGAGGAAGGUGGGGAUGACGUCAAGUCAUCAUGGCCCUUACGACCAGGGCUACACACGUGCUACAAUGGCGCAUACAAAGAGAAGCGACCUCGCGAGAGCAAGCGGACCUCAUAAAGUGCGUCGUAGUCCGGAUUGGAGUCUGCAACUCGACUCCAUGAAGUCGGAAUCGCUAGUAAUCGUGGAUCAGAAUGCCACGGUGAAUACGUUCCCGGGCCUUGUACACACCGCCCGUCACACCAUGGGAGUGGGUUGCAAAAGAAGUAGGUAGCUUAACCUUCGGGAGGGCGCUUACCACUUUGUGAUUCAUGACUGGGGUG
rnacentral:rRNA from 1 species